GGCAAAUUUCCGCUGUGACUUGUGGUCAUAUUGAAACCGCGAUUUAAGCAAAACCGGCCAACGCAGCUUCCUGAUUUUGCUACACGACAGAAUACCAAGUGUGCCACUACUGAUGUUGUUUUGUUAUAUUAUAAAUUAUUGAGGAUUACAGAAGUUUAUAUUACACUCA